CAUUUUUAUACUAUUUUCCAAUAAUGCCAUUGCUGAAAAAUUAUGGAUUAGAUAUUUUAUAAAUAACUUUUGGGUAUUUUGCAAUUUUCACACUAUAUAUGUAUAAACAUGAGAAAUCAAAACAAUUCAUAAAAAAUAUAAGUACGAAGAUAAGUAAACAACAACAAAUUAAUAUAAUAAAUAAUCAGAAAAACAAACGAAUGCAUAAAAACAUUAUAUAUUCAAGAGGAAUAUAUUCAAUACAUAUGUACAUAUAUAUACUUAAUUGCUAUAACCUAAAAAAAUAUUUUCAUCUAUAUUAGAUAUAUAUUCCGGGCACACAAUUCUUGGAAUUUUCGCUAAAUUAUACAAAACACUAAAUUAAACACUACGAAAAUCCAUAUAUAAAUGUUAAAAUGCAAAAGAAUUACUUAAUUUAUUGGAUAUUUUUGGUUGCUCAACUUAUUCCAGAGUGAGAGCGCCUCAAAAUAAGCGUGUUUAUCAAGAAUGAUAGAAACAAGAUUGCGCAAUGCGCAUGUUUGCUUUCAGUCAGCUGUUCUUGCUGACGUCACGGUUGACUUAUUAUUCGCCCGCGCCUUUGAAUGUGAAAGAAAUUUGCAGUUUGAAAUGGGUUUAAGUUCGCCGAGUCUAACGAAGUUGCUACCUAGCGCUUUUCUCACGUUAACCAGAUUAACUCCUGCAGAGGCUAAUGAACGGCAGAAAAGGAUGGAGUCUCGUUUAAACCACUGUUUCUAAUCCUAAUUGCAAUAUUUUUCAACGUGUGUCAGUUGAUCUAUUCUGACCCAAUUGAAAAAAAUGAUGACUUGAAGAUUAUCAACAACGACGAGCUUGAAAAUUUGGCAGGGUACAUCUGCCACAAACUUGGUAAGGACAACCCCGAAAUUUGUGCCAAUUCAGAAAAUUGUUCGUCUUAUACUUGGGUGGAUCACCUAUCUGAAGGAGGACUCUCAAAACCAACAGAUAUGUUCAUGGAGCAUAUGAGAGGCUUGCAAGCAGUAUUUGGCGACUUAAAAGGUACUGAUUUGCAUAUGUAUAUGUACAAAUUACGUCCAGAAGCACUUAGAUUUAAGUAAUUUUGUAAAUUGUAGCACCAAAGUAAAAUAAUUGUUUUUCAGAGCUAGAAUGUAUUUUAGGAUUCGUUCCUUAAAUAAAAACUUAAUUGAAAAUAUGUACAGCAAAAAAAGAAAAUUAAAUAAGAAAAUAAAUUGAUAGUUGGUCUCA